rnacentral:tRNA from 1 species
UCCCUCGUGGCGCAAUUGGCUAGCGCGUUCGACUGUUAAAGUCUCCAGCAACGCAGUCUGCAAUCGAGAGGUUGGUGGUUCGAGCCCACCCGAGGGAG